rnacentral:lncRNA from 1 species
UCCUCUUCCUACUACAAAAUGAUCACUCGAAGUUGAUUUUCUUUCAUUGCCCUUUUUGUUGCGUGGAUUUUUUGUUGAAUUCAAGUGAAACAUACUAUCCUAAUCCCUAUCUUAGAAAUUUCUUCGUUCCUCUCUAUGUACAGUGUGUUAAAGUCUAUCUUCUACGCCUGCAAAAAAAGAGUUGAUUAUGAAACUAGUUACCCGGGCCUUCUUAUCAUAAUUGCAAAGGGGGCUGAGUACAUUUUCUGAAAAAUUAGGGUUUUUUAGUUGGUUAAGAUUUGUGGAUGACAAUUAGGGGGGUAAUAAGAAGGGCUCUAGUUGGCUCAAAGGGCUCUAGUUGGCUCAAAUUCUGAAGAGUAAAGAAGUGGAAAGAAAUGCAAAUUUAUGAUCUGGGUUGUGCUUGUGCGUCACUCAAGUAUAUGAAAUAUGCAAUUAAUACUCUGUUAUGUCAAAUAUAGGGUUUGUGGCAGCAUCGUGUAGAGAGUUGGAAGUCGUUCCACAACACUGCGGUGGCCAGGAAAAGGUCUCACCUACUUAUCACAUCAACGGUCACUUGCCAAGUAAAGUAUUCGCGAAUGGCAAGGCUAGUAAUGGUGGCUUGUAUGGCGUUUACAAGAUUUGCAAUGGCGUGCACUUGUGAUUUGAGACAUUGGUGUCACCCACGGCAAGAUCUUUCCUUCUGGUGUCACCUACUUAUCACAUCAACGGUCACUUGCCAAGUAAAGUAUUCCCGAAUGGCAAGGCUAGUAAUGGUGGCUUGUAUGGCGUUUACAAGAUUUGCAAUGGCGUGCACUUGUGAUUUGAGACAUUGGUGUCACCCACGGCAAGAUCUUUCCAUCUGGUGUGUUUGGUGAGCUAGAUUGACAAUUUUCGAGUAGAUUGUAGAGGGUCUGUACAGAGAUUUUGGAUCACGAGCAGGCUUUGACGGCUUCCCAGAGAGCCCUACUAGAGAACAGAGCCGGGCCCGGUCUUUUUUACGGGGAGAGACUCUUGUUCGUCAUUAUUGUAUGUCUGUAUUGAGGUGGUUUGUCGGGACUAGUCUGAGUAUACCCUCGGCACUCAAACUUGACUAUAUCUAGUUUCUUUCUCAGAGCAAUAUGAUCGUGUCGUGCAUUUGCCAAAGUUUGAUCUAAGUUGUUCACUGAUUUAUGUGUUGUUGUAGCGUGACGGUUCAAGGAAAAACAAGUACUCAGUGCGAGAUUAACAGAAGAACCAGUUAUAAAAUGUAAGACUGCAUAAGUGCCAUGAGAAAGCAAGCUGCUGUAAUUUCAGAAUAAAUUGGUCCAGCAUAGAAUUUAAUUCAUCGCCAUUUGCAUCUGUUCUGCGCCAUUUCCUGCAACCACUCUAUCCACAAAGGAAGGUCCUAUGGUUCAUAUAACGCUCAUGGCGCUAAAGAAGUUAACUUGCAAUAUCCCAUGGUGCUGCUUUUGGCAUCUGUUGCAAUGCCUAGAAACUGCCCGUCAUCGAUGAGAGAAUAUUCAGUGGUUCGUGCGCGCCACGUCAUCUGCUGACCUGGCGCGCACAAACCACUCAGAGAUCGACACACGUUAUGUGGGACCCGUUGGAAAAUGGAGGGGCGGGCUCGGCUCGCUGCAGAAGAAAAGACAGGUCACGACUCCCGCCCAAAAUAUUUCUCUCUCCUGGAUUGAAUUUUCCGCAAUUUUCUCUCUCUCUCACUUUCUCUCCUCCUCCUCCCUCUCGCGACGUCCGCUCUGCUCUCUCUCUCUCCCCUCCGCGAAGUCGUCCGACGCCGACGCCGACGCAGCCUCCGCCUCCUCCCCUGAACCCGACUCUGACGCCAACGCCCCUCCGCCUCCCUCUCGCGACCUCUAGUCCCCUCUCUCUCUCUUUCGUCCUCGAAGUCGCGCCUCUUCCAACAAACCCCGACGCCGAUGCCCCUCCGCCGGUUGCCUCCGUCGGCGUCGGAGUCCGUCGCCCCCGUCUACUCCGCCUCCACCUACGCGCCCGACGCCACGCGUCGAACCACGACAGUGAAAAUGGAGGAGAGAGAAACGACGAAGCAGAAGACGGAGACGAAGAAGCAGAAGCGCGCGCGCUCGGGGUUCUGGACAUGGGUCGUCGCGUCGGUCGCGUUCCGGCUCGCCCUCGUCUACCUCCCCAGGAACCUCCGCCUGUCUACCCGCCCCGAGGUCGCCAGNNNNNNNNNNNNNNNNNNNNNNNNNNNNNNNNNNNNNNNNNNNNNNNNNNNNNNNNNNNNNNNNNNNNNNNNNNNNNNNNNNNNNNNNNNNNNNNNNNNNCGUCGAUCGAUUCCCGAUCCCCGAUCCCCAAUCCCUGCCCCCUCUCCCUUGAAAUCUGGAGGUCCAUUUUCUGAUACGAUUUAUGGUUUUUCUUGUUUGUGCCGCCUGCAGUUGGCGAAGGCUACUCGUCAGUCGGUGAUGUCUCCCUACGCAGGUUCGGCUCUGUUCGAUCUCUGUAGGAAGGAAGCUGCUUGUUUGCCUACUGGUGUGUCGCUGUUUGCUGCUUUGAUCCCUUCCAUAGGUUCCAUGUAUCACGGUUCUCCUUUGCUGUUGCUUGUUCUCGGACCUCUCGCUGUCAAAAGGUAACUACCGGAGUAUAAUCGCCGAUGCAUUUUGAAGGCUAGGUUGAUUGUGAGCUUUGCUGGUUAUGUGCUAGAACUAAAUUAGAUUUAUCUGGCGUUAUCGAAGCGGGUUGUUUUCGAUUCCAGAAAUUGAAUUUCUUUUUAGGGGAGUUUUAGUUUCUUGCGUGUUGUGAAGUUAAUUAUGUUCUGUAGCUUUCUCGUGAUGCAAGGUUCGCCCUUUUUUUUUGUGGGUGUUUGCUGCUUGUAUUAGUAGAUCUUUCCAGGUGGUGAAGUCGCGGUCUUUGCAGUCGGCGAACUGGAUAGUGGUGCACAGAGCGAUAAUGGUGAUAAAGGAUCUGGACGCCCUGUUCUCUUCCCUGAAUCCGGAGAACUACGACAUCCUCAUGAAGUGAGUGUUGCGCUGUCUUUUCCCUGUUUUCUGUACCUGUUCGCUGUCGAUGCUUGUUUGGAUUUAUUGCUUCGUGUUUGCUUAGUAAUCUUUACCGUGGAAUUGAAAUGUUUGGAGUGAUGGUAGCAAUUUAAGGCACAGGGGAUGGUUUUCUUGUUUCCAUUAAGUUUGUAGCGCUUGAAGGCACAAGUGAUAUUAAUGCCGAAAUGCCACUGUGUGUGUGGAGGGUUUGUGAAGGGCUUAAUCUUUUCACUCAACUGUCUUGUUCUUUCAAUGGGACAUUUGAGUACUCCUGUAGUCCCUUGAUACAGAUUAACAUAAGGAUCAUGGGCUCAUUGGGUAGUGACGAUUAUGCCUAAUGAUUAUCGGUUGUGAAGGGCUUAAUUAUUGAGCUGUUUGUUGUGGCUGCAGCUUUUGGUAGAGAUAUUUAAUAAAGAUAAAGAAUUCAUGGUGAUGUAAUGACUAGAAACAGCAAACUGUCUCUUCAGUUCAUUGGUUUAUCUGUGUCAUCAGGGUUGGCACGUUAGGAUCUCUGAAGACUUAACGUUUUUUUUCCCCAACGACUUAGUUUGAUAUUCAUUUUCUUAUUUCUGGUGUUCAAACCUACAAAUAAUUGGGUGAGAAUAACUCAAACUAAUGAAGUGAUCUUGGAAGAAUUACCAUUUAUGAAAUUUGACCAUAACUUUGCUAAGGAAUAGCCUACUACUUUGGUUUAGGUUAUCAGUUUCUCAAUUUUGCUUAUGAAGAAUAGGUUGCGCCAGUAACUACUAUUAAUUGUAUGCUUUGGCUGAUCAUAGUCUAUCUAUUUAAGGCAUUGUUAAAAUGUUUGUGUUGUUGUAUUGUGAAUUCACUGAAUUAUGCUACUUGUGAUUGCUCGUGAUUGCUCUACUUAUUUGUUGACACCCCAUUUUUUGAAGGAACAAACCUUGUUAAACUAUGCAAGGCAGUCAAGUUAGAGUGUAUAGGGAUUCCUAUUCCCAAAGAAGAACCCUUUUAGAGGCUAUGCUCAGACUAAGCUAGACUUUCUUUAUUGCUACAAUAUGAUUUGUAUUAGGCAUACUAGUUGCCUCUUCCCAAGGAUCGGUACCAAUGCUUGUUUGGGAAGGAGGGGAGGGGAAGGAAAAUUGGGGUAAAGUUUGAAACUUUGGCGCAGAGAGGACAAAAAUUUAAAUUUUCUUUCCAUUUUCAUCCCAUCCUUGCCUUCUAAACGAAGGAUAAGAAUGAUAGACUAGAGAGGAUAAAGCAGGGCAGGUAAGGUUGUCAAUUUGGAAUAGAUGGUAAGAUAUGCUCAAUGAUAGUUGCUCCUGUCCUGGGGUUAUAUGUGUUAAUACUUGGGGUGGUGGUGGAUCUAGAGUAGCAGAAGCAACUCCUGGUUUAGAUCGUCUUAAAACUAUGAUGACGUGUAGCUUUCCCUGAAUUCUAGACAAGGCAUUUCAUCAAUUUUAUUGACAAAGUCCUUAUUGGUUGUUUCUUUGUUGGUUGUAUUGAGUGCCAAAAUCUAGUCAUGCAAUCUAGUCCUAAAAGAUCUCCUUUCUAGAUCAAAUCCCUGAGACUUCUGAGUAGGUUGAUCUAAUGGUAUUUUUGUUUUGAGUGAUUGGAAGGAGAGAGGAAUUAAAUUGACAACUUUUGGGGUUAGCUUGAUCUCAAGGCCGGUGCGCAGGAGUAGAAUAAUUUUGUUUCUGCAGGAUUCUGGUUUAGAUUCCAUUUUCACCAAGGUGCCAUACUCUAUUGGCUUGCCAUAGUCUUCACAACUCAACCAGAAAAAAAGUAGUACCAUGUUCAUUCGUCUCGUGUGUUCUUCUCACUCACUGAAUUUUGGCAUAUAAUGAUCAUACAAGACAAUUGCAUGCUGUUUUCCCCAGUCUCCCUGCAGUAAUGUAUUUAAAAUUCCUUCCUGUCCAUAACAGUGUCACUUGACCAGAUAAAUUGCGUUUGAUAGCACGAUACUUUUCUUUCUGGUUGGAGAACAUGUUCCUUCUUUUCAUCAGCACUCGAAACCUAUCUUAUUCUAUGGAUACUGCAAAUAUCACUUAUUGGCUUGUCAAUGCUUAAGACUGGCUUAGAGCAUUAUCUAACUCUCCUUGAAGAAUUAUAUGCAAAUGCUCUGGGGAUGUUUCUUUAUCGCUAUUGGUACUUGAGUUAGUCUAAACUGACAAGAUGGUAUACAACAAAAAUUGUCUUGAGGUCAUUGUCAAAGUACUUGAAUGUUCUUACGGCUGUGAACAUCGUCAUUUAGGACUGGUCAUUAAGUAGAUGGGAUUUGAUGGCAUCUGUUGUUUGCCUUAUGUAUGUACGCUUAACAUGUAUUUUACUUUGACCUUCAGGCUCAUCAUGCAACUAUGGUCUCAUGACCAGCAAAUUGAGCAUCGUCUUCUAAUUUUACCAUGGUUAACUGAGAUUAAAGGUAGAUAUAUUUAUUGACCAGUUGAUUUUGUUGUUUGGCUGGCCAAUAAGACUGAUUCGAGGAGAGCAGAGUUUCCCCAUGUAUUAUUCAUUCCUCAUCUGAUCGUUACCAUCUUGCUUGGAUUACUGUUAUUGUUAAGGCGUUUGAUGGAGUUAAACAUGCAUUCCUUCUCUAGUGAGUAGUAAGAGAAUUCAGUGUGCAAAUGCUAUCGCUGUUGUAGUUCGUGUGUGCUACGUUUCGUUCGUUAAUGCCUUCUUCUUUUCCCACGUACAGCAUAUCUGCAAAACCAGAACCUACCUCAUUAAUUUGAUCCUCUCGUUGCUUGCCAGAUACUUGUACAGAGGCUUGUCUACAGGGGAUCGACCCACCUGUGACCAGUGCCUGCGGAUUCACGAAAGACUCACGGAGAGGGCUGGCUUGGGGUGCAUACUUUGUUCCCUAGCAGACACCACAAAUACAGUAUGAUGAUUAUUGCUAUCGCGAUCUGAAGAGAGAAAAGUGCCCACUGUAUCAUGCAUUAAUAAGAACAAGGUUCACGUACAAGGUUCAAUUUGGUUCCUAAAAAUAAAAGUAAGUGUUAUGGACGCACAAGGUUCACGUACACUUCUAUUGAAAGUGUGGCAGUGACAAAAGGGGAGGUUAGUAAACUAUGGCAGGUGGGAAAACUACCUAGCCGCCAAUAAGCAAUAUCAUUACCAUUAAGUGCUCAGAGAAGAAGGUCUGUAUCAUGCAUUAAUAAGAACUAUCGAUUUCAGGUUUGAACAUAGUUGGUCAAUUGGCAACAAGAAAGUACAUGUGGGAAGACUAGUACUUAGCCAGCUUGUGGAUGGCUUUGGGAAGACAAGUGUUCUCCCACCACUUAUAAGCACGAUCAUUUCAGACAAAUAGACUAUCGUGCACAUAAGGAAAAAUGGUAAGUAUAGUCUCUGUCAGCAUCCCAAUAGAAAUGACUAAAGAGAUAGGAACUUACCAAUGAUGGGAGCAUCCAGUGUACAAGGAGACUUGAUUCGCAAGUUCCAAAACUUCUUCAUCUGAAGCAGAUGCUGCAAACUUCUUCAUCUGAAGCAGAUGCUGCAAACUUCUUCAGCAGAAGAGCCCUCUCAUGUGGGCCUGCCAAGCAGUAACUAAAUGUGAAAGAAUCUGGAACUGCUUUUCCAACACUUGGCAUACUCUUGGAAUUUGAAUUUCGCAUUUUAGUACGUUCAGAAUCUGAAAAAAGUUUCUCUGCAGUUUCAAUAUUCUUCAAUAUCACGUCUGGGCGAGUCCCGAAACUAUCCUUAGCCUGAUCAACAUUUAGAUCGUGUCAGAUCAAGAGAGAACUUCACAAGACAGAAGCAAGCUUUAGAGCCAACUUUUUUCUAUUGAAAGAAAAACAACAAAAAAAGUCGGAAGCUAUUAACAUAGAAAUAUCGCUUCCUGAUGUCACAGAAAAAAGAUUCAACUUCGUCAAGGCAGUUCAAUGACAAAUGCUUAACACUGGAGGUGACACUCAGAUUUUGUCAAAAAAAAUAAAAAUGUAGUGGUGAUAGGAUUAAAAGGAAGAUACAACGACUUACCUUUCCACCCACAGUACUCCAGAUACCAUCACUACCUUCUUCUAUGUCAGAAGCAGAUGAAUUGUCAAUAGCUAAGUGUACAGGUGAGUCCUGGCAUUACAGGAAAAUAUUCAUUAAAGAAAUCAUAUCCACAUGAAUAAGGUCAAACAAACUCGACAGAAGGUACCUUAUAAUGAUCCUCAAUGGAUGAAGAAGGGUGCAAGACCUUUGGACUGUAUAAAUAACCUUCUAUGCCAUCAUCAGUUCCACUGGUACUAACCAAACUUAUUUUCCUUAAAGGCCUAGAUUCUCAAAUAUUUUCCUUAAAGGCCUAGAUUCUCCAUCUUUUGAGGCACUUAGGGGCUUCUCAUCCACCACUUCCCCGUCAAUGUGAAGCCGUAAAAGUUGUGAAGCCGUAAAAGUUCACUUGAGACCUACCAUGAAGAUAGAACUUUGAGCAAUUUACAAAGGGAAAAAGGCCCUGAGAAUAAGAAACCUAGGAAAGACAAUGACAUCAUAAGAUUGACAAGAGACUUUUGGUUGAACACCAUUUAUGCAAUCUAAAAUUCUACUCUCUCUUUCAUCAGACCAACAAUGAGACAUAGACUUACAUGAAAUUUUGAAGACAACAAUUCUUGUCCAAGAUCCUCCAAAUAACGCAUGCAAUUAGUUGAUCACAGGCACUCCAAUGAAUAUGAAUAGAAUCAUACUCCAUGUCUGUACUCUAUAAAAGCUUGUUCUUUUCAGCCACAUUGAAAGUGCAACAGUUCUACGUGCCAUUUGAAUAUCCAUCCAAUACGCCUUACUUUUAUAUAUUUGAAGAUCAUGCACCAUUCAUACAAUUCCAAUUACAUCUGAAAAUGAUUGGUUAAAGGUAAAACAGACAGAUAAAAUGUUCAGUAACAACUUGCUUCAACUCGACGGCUCGAACCAAUAAGUAGUAAACAUGACAGACAUUAAUGCGCUCAGCUAUAGCCAUAAAUCGAGACUGACAGACACAACCCGAGAGCUGAGCAACGGUGAUCGAUCCAAAUCAAUGCCAAGCAUCCCUCCAAAUCACAAAAUCCAACAACCGGUGAGUGAUCAAUCGCUAAAACAACCGCCAAACAAGCAACUCAUAACACCUAACCUCUCCAAACAUAAAAAAAUUCACAGAAUUGAGAAACGAACACCGUCCCUCUAAUCAAAAACCAACGAACCAAAAAGGGACGAAAAAAAGAUGGAAAAACGGCGGCUUUCCUCUACCUGACGGAAAAUGGUACAAGGGAAAGUGGCGGACUUCAAGAGAUAAACCCAGAAGUAGAAAAGCAAGGACCCAUCUUCUCCUUCUUCUCCUUCAUCUCGUUCUUGUUCUUCCUCCUUCUCUGCUUCGACGUCGAGCCUGAAAUCACCGAGCAAAGAGUAACGACUCAGGUCGAUCGUGCUCUCGCCGUCCGCCACCAGUAUAUCUAGCCUCGCAAACCCCUUUUCCUUCAAAAUCCUUGGCUACGUACUCGAGCCCGAAAUCGGGACCGAAUAAGGAGUAAAAGACAAAGAAGUUCGAGAGGCCAGUCGGCAGCCGGCGAUUUCUGGAGCCGCGGCUGGAAAGUCGAUGACGGCGACGAGGACAGAGGCGAGGAGGGAAGCGCUUAGGGUGAGUGAGAGGGCUCGAGACAGAGAGGAAGGGGGCGCUUGGAGUGAGUGAGAGGGCUCGGGACAGAGAGGAGAGGAGUGCUUGAGGAAGAGAGAGGCAGAAGCGGGAAGAAAUAGCGCGCGCUCCAUUGAAAAAAAGAGAGAGAAAAUGCAGCAGGCCUCUCCUUCUUCGCCGCGCCGUCGACCCCGCCCAAGUCCGCCGAGAUCUCCCUCGCGACCGAGCGGGCCAGCGUCAGGGACAACGCCCGGUCAGCGGCGGGGAGCCUGGUGCCGCUCGGGAACGAGACCGAGAUGAUAGAGGCAGAUGGCCAGCGACGCUUUUGGGCAGGCGCAGGCCGAGGCGGAGGUCCGGAGCCGGAGAAGGAGGCGGAGGAGGUGGGAUGCGCGGAGAAGGAAACAGAGGAGGCUCUGAGCGUUUUUUUUUUUUCUUUUACGAGAAGAGGAGAGAGAAAAAAAUUGGAGCGGGAGGAAUACGUUGAUCCUCCUUUCGAGCCAAGCCGAGUCGAGCCGCCCAAAAACCAGCCCUUUCCUCAUUUUCGGGGGUCCCGCUCGGGACAGGUGUUAGUAUCUGAGUGGUUUGUGCGCGCCAGGUCAGCAGAUGACGUGGCGCGCACGAACCACUGAAUAUUUUCUCGUCAUGAGAUGGAGGGUUCCCUGCGCCCGGGGUAAGCUCGCACGAUAUAAAUGUCCAUCAUUGGAAAACCCCACGAUAUAGAUAUCCACCAUUGGAACGUUUGUCGGUCUUCAAGAAACUGGUUUUUAUAGACAUUUUCUUGGCUUAGAUAUAUUGCUUCCCGAACUUGACAGUAAAAGGAAGCCGGAGAGGGAACAUGCGAACGCCCACUAUGGUGAACAGAAAGUGGCAUACGCGCAAACUAGUUUUUCCUUUUGGUCAGAACAUGCAAACUAGCUCGAAUGCAAAGGAUUCCGAUCAAGGUCGACGACACAGGUGAUUUGUGAAACAAAUAACCAAGUGAUUUGUCUUUAUUAAGGGAGAAGACAGACGAUUGUAGAUUUCAGACUACUUUCUUAAAAAUCUUUAUACACUCUCCUAUGGUCCAGAGCUAUAUACAUUACCAUCUCUAUAGAAUAUAAACAAUAACAGAUCUGUAAUUGAAUUUGAAAAACUAAAAAGGUUCUCUAUAACCCACAAGAAAAGGGCAUUCUCGUGGAAUUUGACAAUUACCCAUGAUACAAACUAGUUCUAUAAAUACGUACCCAAAAAAAAAAAAAAAAACUAAUUCUAUGGAUAGCCAUGAACAACACCAAGAAUUCCCUUGCCAUUGCGAUCAAUAAAUUUGAAUAAUCUAAUAUGCUCAUCCCUGAUCAUGUAGCUUCCCUCCGCUGUUGACACUUGAGGUUUCUCCAUCUUAUCUGGGUUGCACUACAGAGUUCUUUUCAGAGAUACAAUGGUUCUGAGGAUUCAGGAUUUACUCCAAUAAAGGUACCAAUGUAUGUUUCAAAGUUUGUGGAUGGAGAUUCAUGCUGUAUGUAAUAGCCACUCCUACAAGUGAGCAAAAUGCUGGCACAAGUCCCAAACCAAAUCUUGAUACUGAGACGUAGACAUCCGUUGCAAGGUGUCCCUGAGCUUGUUUUGAGGUGGCUGCAUUAGAAUGUCAUUAGAUGAAUUUGGCAUAAAAAUGAAAGAGGUAGAAAACAUCCAAAACUAAAUACAAGGAUGUAUUCAAGCACAUGCUACAGACUUUGACUGCAUAAUCUAAUCGGGGGCAUCAACAACUAUGAUUUAAGAACAGGAUCGCAAUGGUAAGGACUUUGGUUGUUUCUCAUUCAUUUGUAAUGCAAUUGAUAAUGUAUCAAGUCUUCUUUCAGCUAUCAGUGAUCUAUUUCUUUCUCUAAGGUCUUGUCAAAUCUUUGUAGGUCUUUUACUACCCUCCUCAAUCUAAAUAUCCAUCCCAAGAGGGGACUAUCAUAAGGCAUUCCUUCCACAUGAUCAAACACAUUUCGCACAAGCUUCUAUCCCCUUGUCUUCAAUCAGAGAAACACGUACAUUUUCUUCAGAUAGAUUUAUUUCUAGUUCCGUCUUUCCUCAAUUACCAGCACAUCCAACGAAACUUCUCAGCUCCUUUUUUAAUGCUCAUUUGUGCACGUCUUGUAUUCUAAGGAAAAAGGCAAGUAGCAGACUCCCAUUGGGCAUCACCAUCAAGAUCCCCUACCCCCCAAGACAUGUUUGGUUUGAGCCAUAGUUACUAAACGCUACCCGUGGCCUGCUCAUCAACCGUUACUCCCACUGAGAUGCUAGAGAUACAGAAUCCAUCUGCACAAAGCAAGAAAGCCACUACUCCCCCGAGUGGUUCAAUCUCAUCCCUUCGCGUUUGUGGAAUACUAACCCAAUUCACUAGCCACAGACACAGGUGAUUAUUUUGUGCAUGUGGUGCUGUUUGACCAACAUGGAAAAAAGAAGAAAACCUCAUGAUUAAAGAUAACAGUAUACAAAUGAGAUGGACUUUCUUAUAUCACGUGAUGAUUCUUACAAUUAUAAAGAAAACAUGAUUUCUGAUUGACAAUGUUUAGACCACUUUAAUGUUAUGAAGCGAUUUUACAUUCUUUUAUGCUUAAGUUCAUAACUGGCCUCAAAUGUCAUGCCUGAUAGUUCUGAAAAUUGUAGUCUACCUACCCCCAAUGAAGUCUUCUCGUAAGUUCACUACUUACAAUUUGACCUUUGCAAGAGACACGUGUGCCUAUAUCUCUAUGUAAUUGGGCACUCAAAUAAUACAAGUCUACAACUUGCCAGGAGCUUUAAUUUUAUGAUACCAUAUCCACUUGUUUACUCAAUACCAUCUUGAACUAAAGUUACCAACUUUUCUUGAUGUACUGUAGAUGAUAUAGUCUCUUUAAUUUUAUGAAGCUGACAACAAGAAUGAAUCGAUUAAAAUAAAAAAAUCCAUGGGAACAGCUGUUUAACUCUAAAUUAGAGCCAAAUCAACUGUCUUGUACGCUUUUCUAGCACUAGUUGCUGGAAUGAUUAAAGCACUUUAAUGAUAAGAGACCCAGUUCCUGACAUUCCUUGUCAGUGAUAUCAAAUCUACCUAAAGCAGAUUUGUCAUCUGAUGGUGGAGAUAGCAAGAGCACUGGAAACUAACGGAAUCGCAGCAGCACUGUCUCAAAAAAGAUGAUCUGCCUUGACGCAUAAGCAAGCAUCAUUUAGACAUUUAGUUAUCUCCAAUCUUAUUGGUUCAAGCCACCUCACCCACUACAAAGAUCAAGUAAGGACCACACGCAAUCAAUGUCCUAAAAAGACUCAUGGGACCAUCUAACUGAUCCCAUCAUGGAAAAAUGCAUGGGGGGCUAUAAGGGGCCUGGCCAUUCCAAGCUUUUUAUAGUUUCUGAAGGGUCCUCAUACAUGUUUAACUCAUUUUGUAGAUUCUCUAACAUUCAAAACUAAUGACACAAUCCAGGCCUCAAAUGUUUAGAAACCUUGGCAUGGAAAUGCAUAUAAUAAAACCCAAUUGAGAAAACUUCACACUGCUUCCAUAACAGAGUCAUCAUUACUCAGGUAGUGGUUCAGUAGGACCUCAACAUGUGGAAAUCUUGCAAUUUUUCAAGCUUCUACUGCAGAUUUUGAGACGAAGAUAUUGAAGUCUAGCUAAAGAAUUUGCAACUUUUUUUCGAAAAAAAGAGAACUAUCAGGAAUUUAUCCUACCCAGUAAACAAAAUGAAGUAGGAACAUGUGGUUAACUUACUUUGAUAUGAUUGAAGAAUAUAAAGAGUGAGCCCACAUGCCAUUUUGUCCAAAAAGCUCAAGGAUCCACACACAAAUGCACAGCCAUUUAGAUCUUCACCAACUAAGACACUCUGCAUGCUUAUCCCAGUCACCUGUAAUGCAAAAGAAGAACUAAAUAAUUCGGCAGAAGGAACUCCUAAAGGAAUCAAAAGGAAGAAUAGAUACAAGGUGCAGAAAAGUCUACACCAGCCCAAAAUAUCCAGUAGAAGUGUCAGCAUGACGACAGAGGUUUUAAAAAAAGAAAAAGAAAAAGAAAAAAGUGAGAUGACUGAUGGCAGCUCAAAAUAACAAGAUAGCAGCAAAUGAUUACCAUCAUGAGAGCAUUCGCCACGCCAAUAAAUAUCGAUAAAACAUACACGAACCAACUCAUAUUUCUUGGUAACAGGAAUAUUGCUGCGCCACAAAAUACCCAGAGAAUGCCUCCUGUAGAAUAGUACGCCUUCAGUCGUUGUCCAGUCCAAGCUACCUCCUACAGGUUUUCCAAAUAAAAUUGUUAAAGCAAGAUAUCCACAAAGUAUAAUUUAAAAAAAACAUAAAAAAAAUAAAAAUCAGAGGUAUGAGACCGAUGACAGCACCUGUAGCAUGACGGAUACAAAGAAGCUGCAAACAUAAAUAACGGCAGGGACCUAAUUUCACCAGAAACAAAAAUCAUCAAAUAUAAAGUUCUUAAACACACAUGUAAAGAUGUGCUAGAAUAUUUCUGAAUAUACCAGAGCUUUGGCUGACUGGAUCAUCCGCAGAUCAUUAAUGACAUAGAAAGCAAGAUAUGCCUGAUAAUUUUUACACAUUGACAUAAAAAUAGCAUUAGUGGCACUGUGGCACAAAUAUCUCUCACACAAGUAACUCCAACAAUCAUCAGUGGAAAAAAUGAAAUUUGCACCACGAAUAGUUGAAUGACAACGUCAAAAUUUCCAUGCUUAUUGUGCUGGGAAUGAUCUCAAAUGAGGACCUAAAUGUAUAGACCUCUUUAUGGAUCGCUCCACUAGAACUACCAGCACGCCCUCAUUACAUACCUUUUUCAUUAUCAAGAACAGAGAAGCACCGCAGAGCAAAUUAAGUGAUUUAACAUUGUCCGAGUUGCAGAGUCAAUAAAAUUUGUACAAGUCAUGCAGAAAGCAUCCAAAUCCAAAGGGACAUAAGAAGCUAACCUGGGAAACAUUGACAACUAAUCUUGUAAGCACAUAAACAAGAGCAACUUGGUAGUACAAAACUUUCUUGAACCAGUAAUCCCAUGAAAUUCUAGCUUGGUUGCCCACGCAAGCAUUGGCUUUCAACCUAAGUUAAAACAGGACAACAGAAAUUAUAAGAGACAACUAAUGCAACAUAACACUACCAGUCAACUCAUGCCCACAGACUAGCAACAAAAUUCUACUUCGUCAAUAAUACUGAACCUAGAAUCAACCAAGUAAUUCCUUUGAACUGAGAUUCUCAUUCCUGUAUUUACUCCCAUACAAGCCUGCAAAAAGCUAUAAAGUACAUUGCAGCAGCAAUUUCCUAGAAUUCUAAAAUUACCAAGCACACAGCCCCAGAGGCAUGUCCCCUUAAAACUGUGUGCGCGCGCACAGAGAGAGAGAGAGAAAGAGAGAUGCACACCGUGGCUCUCUGGUUCCAAGAUGAAAUAUGCCCACGAAGCAACAUCCAACAGCUAUUGAUAAAUAUGCUAUCCAGCGAUACUGCUCAUUUACAAGAGUAAUCUCAGAGGAAGAAGAAACCAUACAAAUCAAAACAUAAAAAAAAAUUAUACAUACUUGAUUUUCAAUAUCAUCAUGAGUGUUUGAACUCGUUGUAGUGAAGACUAUUCCAGCUACAGCAUACAGACUCAGGUUGGCAACCUGGAAAAUAUGAAGUUUCGAAGGUAAAAUAGUCAAGAAUGCAGCAAACCGUGCAGUCAUGGACAUAUUGAUUGAACAGAACUAACCAUGGUGAAAGCAUUGCGACAACUAGCAAGCACCACUCUGCUUGUUGAAUUCAGCGUAAUGCAAUUAAUCAUAGACCUAUGAAGAUAGCAACGGAUCUUUUAGCACAUAUUAACAUUGACCAUGAAUCUUCAAGAGAAUAAACAGAGCCACGUCAACAAAAUCAAUAUUUUUCUUCGCACGUUAUCUUAUUUUAUUUUUGCCCCAUAGACAUGGAAAAGAGAUAUAGCACAUGGUGAUAUGGCCAAUCUUCUUUAUACUAAUUAAGACCCAUAAUAGUUGUCAUAAAUGACUCAUCUUCCAUUCAAACAAUUCUUACAUCAGCAUCCUUGCUGAUAAAGUUAGCAGUUAAAAAUUGAGUUAAUAGAUGGACAAAAUCAUAUUACCAUGAACAUAGCAGGCAUCUUCUUUACAUAAUUACACGAGGUGAAUUUUAUCUUUCAAUGCAUAAGCAGGUUAUGCUCUUGAAGAUUUCAGACCUAGUAAACAGUCCGUGAUGCUGAACACGAAAUAGCCUUCCACUAUCGACUUAAUUGAUAGCAAUGCUUACAUGACAAAAUAAUCUAAUUGUUACUCAAGUUCUGAUUAGUAUCUCAAAUCAAAGAGAGUAAAAGCCUAAUGCGCUUUACUAAAAUUACACCAUUAUAAUUCUAAGACAAACUGAAGCAACAUGACAAUAUAGAGGACCAAAUAUGAUUCUUCUACAUAUCUUACUAGCAUAUGCCAAAACAGGAACUGAGACUGGUACUGAGACACAUAAAGGGGACGUGCAUUACGUUAAAAGUUAUUGCUAUUUGCAACAUGCAACGUCGUUCCUUCUUUUGUAUCUAAUAUGCAAACUCUUCUCCUUGUCACUGAGAGGACCACAUAAUUGAUUGCACAAAGCUCGACUAGCUUAGGAGUUAGAAAUGCCAUUACAUGUGCGACACUUGAGUAGCGGCCCAACCCACAUUGAAGAUUGCUGCAAAUACACUAUAUCCAAUUGUUUCCAUCGUCAGUGAAUCGCUACCAAAGAUGUUGCAAGGUAUGCAACCACCAAAAACUGAAGAAAAGGAGAUGGCAACCAAAAUGGAUCCUGCCAAAUGCCACACUUUGAAAUGUCCAAACCUGUCUAUCUAUCAAAUAGAUAAUUAAGAAAAGAACAAGGGUGAGCAAUUGCACUGAGUUUUAGUUGCAUGAACACUCAGAUACAAUGACAACAACAAAUAGAUUGAAGGAGAAAAUAAAUACUGAUGUGAUUUGAGGAUAUCUGUCUUGACAUUUUCUGAAAACCGAGAAAUGCAAAGAUAUAUAUCCAUAUGAAAGAGAGGCAAGCAAUUAAUCUCAUGUGGCAAGUGAUAACCAGCAGUACAAGGGAUGCAGAUUUUGAAAACAUUAUGUGAACUAUCUCUAGUCUACAAUGCUACACCCCGUCCAACUUUUGGCGAUUAUUGCCCAUAUCAAAUGGCACUAAGCCAAGUAUAUAUUCUGACUAUUGAAAAUUACUAUAAGAUGGCACAUAGUCGAUAUCCCCAUCUGUAAAGGAUUGGAAGUCACUGUGUAGACAACAGCUAAAUAGCUCAUAGGGCAUUAUAUCAAGAAUCCACUAGCCAAAAUUUUUUCUCCUCUAUGAACAGAACAUUGAUCAUAACUUCUCAAGUAGGAAAUUAAUAUGAUUCAGAAUCUUAAUUUUAGUGCUUUCAGCUGGAUGGCAACCAGGGAAGGACAAAAUGUCCUAGUUGAACUAUGCCUUUUCGAACUACUACAGUAGAUAUAUUUUUCUUAAAAUGUGUUCCCAAGGAACUGGUUAAGAAGCAACUUAAAGAAAGUUUGCAAUUUUCAAUUAAAUUGUUUCUCUUGUGUUAUGUAUAAACAACGGUUUGAAAAUCAAACAUUCUCAAUCAAUUGUACUUAAUGAAUGCCCCAAGGGAACAUGUCAGCAAGACCCAUUGAAUAUGAGGAAGUAUUAAUCAAACCAAGCCCCUUCACACAUCAUUCCUGAAUCUGUCCCUGGUAGAAAACAAAUUAUUUUCUGCAUAGGCAAUAGGACCCAAAUUAAAUGUCUAGCAAGAUAGUAGUUCUGAGCAAUCUGGACUCAUUAUCCCAGGCCAAAUCCAAAUCAUCAUAGUGAUGCCAACUCCAAUUGAACGAACUCUUGCUAUCCCAACUAACACGUGACCGACCAUGGGUUGUAAAGUAUUUCAUCCAGGUGGGAUGUGAACGCCUUGAAAAAGGGGCAUAGUGUCAACUUAAACACAAUGCCUAGAUAGCAGAAUAUACAUUAAUUAAGGAAUUUUAUAAGUCUUACUCUUUACCUUAAUAAUAUUGCUGAUGAUACAUUCAAUGAGGGACUGAAGUAAAUGGGAUUCAGGCACUAGCUACACACCAUAAUGACAGAACCCCCACCUUCUAUCACAAGGAUGAAAGAAACCAAUCGUCUUUUCUGUUGCAGAAAAAUUUGUAAGGUGCUCUGUUCCUAGAAUAGAGAAGAGCAGCAACUCACAGCAAACUAGGACAUUCGUCAGCACUACCCCCCCCCCCCCCCCCCCCCCCCCAAAAAAAAAAAGAAAAAAAAAAAAACUAACAAAUGUAAAAUCUUUCACAAAUUUGAUGCUCAUGCAUCUUCAACCAUUUCCCUUCCGACCUCUCCCACCAAAAAAACACCCCAUGAGAGGAACAUAAUCAUGAAAUUUAAAGUGAAGAAUCCUACAGCAUGACUCCUUUUUCUCUUGACCUUGCUACUUCAUAGUGGUUGAAAUCGUAAGGGCCCAUUGGGGAUAGCUAUAGGCUUUUGACUUUAAUGAUGACUUUUACUUUUUCUGUUUUAACUAUGCCUUUUAGCCUUUCAGUUAAGCUGUGGUGCUAGAUAAGCCAAAGUGGUACUUCAACUCAUAAUGACUAUAACUUAUUAUGAAGAACUUUAAUGUGGAACAUCUCAACUCUUGAAGGGCUUUAGGUCAAAACGUUAUGCCAGCACUUCAAAAUUCAUAAAUAUUGCUCGAAAUCCCAAAAUUUCAAUAUUCAAAAGAUGUGUCAACAAGUGCUUUUAGGAACUUGUUCAGCAAAACUAAUAUUGCUUGAAUAUGUAUAAAGGUCAUUAUAAAUGUCCAAGAGAAACAUGGCCAUGUUCAAGAAAUUAGAGGAUAUUUUUUAUGCUCUUCAGGAAAAAGAUAGGAUGUGAUUACUAAGACAGGAUCACAAUGAGAGAUUCAAUAAGGUAGGUGGGCAGGCUUACGCUAAUGGAAGAAGCUACUCUGAGUCCUACCCUUGCGUGAAAUAAAAAGGCCAACCAGCAAGGUUCUCAGCAUAGAUGGUGAAAAUAGUGCAUGAUGUACAUAUUCAUUAACUAAAUGGGCUUCUGACUAAGCAAAUAGAAAAAAGUUGAUUGACUGGGCUCAGCAAACAUGGUUUUCUUCAACUGCUAUCCCAUAUUUUGGAACUCAUCCCCAUGCUUUUUAUCUGUAUAUGCUCCAUCAACUCUUACUUUUAAAGCUUUUUCUUAAAACUAUAUCCAAAAAAUUAAGUAAGACAACGGUAUAUGAUGGCAUUCCAAAGACAAGUAAUAAGCAAGUACCAACAUCCAAUAGUAUUUCUUGUAUGAUGAAGCACAAGAAUAGAAAUUAAUUAUCUCACUGGUAAAGAUAUCCACACAUAAGUUCAGGACUGAACAGACUAGUCAUAUACCAGUUCACCAGAAAAUAUUGUCGCAAGUCCAUCAGCCACUUGGCCUGAAAGCAUAACAACUGCUGCAUCUCUGGAUAAGAGAAUACUUGUCAAUUAUAAGCGAAAAAAAUGUUUAAAAUACAAAAGAGCGAUAUGUAUAAUUGCUUAUGCAUACAUUUAAAAUUCGAGCAUACAGAAGACUCAUUUGAAAGAAUGAACCUAUGUAAUGUGUCAAUCUAAUAAAAUUUUGACAAGGAGUGUCACAGUAAUUUCCAAAGCACAAGAGGUCCUGCAGUAAUUGAUCUCUACUUUGAAUAGAAUAUUGCAUGAGGCUUGUUCACCAGAGGAAAAUAAAAAAUCUAUCAGAUGAAAUAAUACAGAGAAACUAAAACUAACACAGUUUUAUCAAAAUUUUGAGGUAGAUAAAGAGUAAUUUAGAUUGAGAAUUGAUCCAACUGAGACUGAGUGUAUUAGAUGCAGAGUUUGACUCAUCAAGAUUCACCUCAUUCUUCAUCUGUAGUUAACAAUAGCUAGGUGUAGGAACAAUUCUUCAGCUUUGUAAUUGAAGCCUUAAAAGCCAAGGUCUACAAAUUUUUGAGAGAGAAAGAUAGUCUUGCACAAAAAAAUCCAGGGCAACAUUUCAUGUGUGUUUGUAUCUGACCAGCUAUUGCGAUAGAAAGCAAAAUAAGAAUAAAGAUAACAAGACUUGCUAUGCUCUCUAUGCUGGAUUGCCUAAAAAAUAAAAAACCAAGAUAGGCGUAUAAUGUUGCACAAUGAGGAUAGUUAGGCAGUCCUUUGGCACUAAUCAGAUGAGAUUGGGUCAAAUAAAGACUUUGUGAAGUUGAAUAAAAAGUCAGCCUGCACAGGAUAAGAUCCAGAAAAGUUGCUGAAGGUUUUCGGAACAAUCUACACAGAUCUUUGAGACGCUAAAAACAAAUGAUGUGACUACUCACUAGAUACUGGUCAGAAGCAAUAGGAGGUGCCAAAAGAGACAACUUAUGAAUAUGCCAGAGAAGUAACUCGUAUAAGAAUCUCAUCAAAGACAUGGUUAACAUGAAGCAGCAUAUUUUGUGCCCAGUUUAUAUGAUGACAUGAGAUUAUCCACGCAGCUACCCUAAGGGUAAGUUGAAUUGUUUACCAUCCACCAAAAGCACUAUCCAUCUAACAUGAAAUAUUUUAGUGUGACGUUUUACAGCUUACCAAAAUCUUUACACAGGACAUCCGGCGAGAAAUGACAAAUAUUUUCCCUAAUUAUCAAAUGUGUUAAUGGUAUCCAACUGAUAGUGCAAAGUAAUCUCAAAAUUCAUGUCUGUGCGACAACCAACGAUAAUUGAAAAAUCAAUGGAAUGGACUCAUCGGAUCCCCUCACUUAAGCAAGAGCGACAGUGCCAGUUCACCAAUAGUCCGCAAACUCACAUCCCUGGCAACGAGUGUUAUAAGGUAGAGCAAGUACCUUGGGGACAAUCCAAUGUCCGUCAAGAACAGCAGGAGGUAAGUAAACCAACAGGCUGAAGUGAUGUCAUUGAGCAUAUGCCCCGCACCGUAAUAAAAGACCGACCAUCUUCCAACAGACUUUGAAUAGGAAUCAUCAUCCCCCAUUGGACCGUCCAUAGAGGAGAAGUUAUCUGCGGUCGAAACCUCUAAAGCCCUCUAGGAUUGCAAUCCAGACAGCAUAACCUGCGAAUUGCAAGAGGUCAGAACUCAGAAUUCGAGUUGACAAUCAAUUCAAACGACACCAAUAACUGGGAAAAAUGGGAAACCCUUUGCAAUAAAAACGAGAAAGAUCCUCAUCAGCAUCAACAAAUGGGCGACGAAUGCUUCAGUCUCGACUAGUUAACAGAAACCCGAAUUCCGUUCUGCCUUCCAUAGAAACCAUCAAUUCCAAAAUGCGAGAAACGGUCCACCUCCAAUAUAUCACCACAACAAAGUGCAGACGAAAAACAGCUUGGGGAAUGCAAAUCACGGGCAAAGAAAGCGAGAACAAAUCGAGUCGACAAACAAUCAGGGGGAAACAUAAGCGGGAGGAAGAGAUCGAGGAUGCAUACGGGCAGGGAGGGCAGACCCAAGAAAGGCCGGAAAUUUGAUGUCGAUCUCGAAGGGGAGGGAGGAAGUUAUGGUCGCCGCCUCACGUCAGGCACGACCCACUUUCUAUCUUUUGUUUUACCGCCAUCAUCGUCAUCCUCGCGACCGAUAAAAUAAAUGGCGCAGGCAGGCGAAAGGAUCCCCCCACUCCUCCUCUCACCUCUCCGAUGGCUUCAACUCGCUUGUCCUGACCUCCAUAACUAAUCACCACCACCACCACCACCACCACCACUACCACCGCCCAGUCCACAUCGACAGAGGGGAGGGGAUGCAAUAAUAUGGGCCUCUCUGCUCCGCGUUUCCAAGUUUUUUGCAGCACCCACUACGCUCGCACAUCAAACGGAAGACGGAAGAUAGAAAAAGAUGUGCCCCUUCGUGGCCAAACAUCGCCCAUAACCAUAGCCCACGUUGGACCUCUCCGGGUCGCCGAGAUUCGUGGGCCUGUCUUGUCCUCACGCACCUCAUUUCACUUCGCCCCCCUUUGUCUGAAACCACAUUAAAAAAAAGGUUUUCUGAAACUUGAUUGGGGAAACUCCGAGGUCAAACCCGCAGCAUUGGGACUCUCCCCUCGCUCCCUCAUCCGUCCGCAUCCACAGUGCGGCUGCUCAGGGCCCCACGCAACCGCCCCAAUCGCCCCCCCGCAACAGCCGCGGGUCCAAGCUUUAAGGAGAUGAGGUAGGUUCUCUCACCUGCCCCUUUGCCACCCACUGACGAUUUAUUAUUUUUUUGGCAAAAAAAUAGUAAACAAAAAAAAAAACUCCGAUUUUAACUCUAACUCUCAACUUAUCUUUUUACGUGGGAAUUGAAAAUCACACCCGAUACUAAAUCGUGUUCAUCCCAAUUAUCGAGAAAAUAGGGAUUCCAAAUCCCACCUCCCUCUUCCGACAUGGGAAGUGUGGCCGCUAAGUUGUCUUUGACGUUUAGAGGGUUGGUUCCUUGCAAUUUUCUUCCCUGCACCGAUCGAAGAAUUUACUGCGUCCGAUGGGAAAUCGCUCCCGACAUGUGUUCGUGUCGAUCGAGCGCGUGGCGCAAUGGUCCGAGAACCGGGACCUCGCUCUUCGUCGUGCACCCACGAAGCUGCCCCGUCGAUACCAACGCAUGGGAAAUGCCGAACAUGCCCAAUAGGCAAUAUCAUCAUUGCUUCUCAUGUCUCUUAUCGUUACGAAAUGAUUGUAUUUUAAAAGGAAUUUCAUAAUUUCCCUAUUUGAACUUUUUAAAUAAUAUAUAUUGCGAGUACGAUUAUCGUUCGACUUCAAAAAAAAUUCACCAUUUCUUGAUCGCAAACUUUAUGCAAGAAUUUCAUAAGGAACCCUGUGAAUCACGUAAGAUUUGGCUGCCUGUAAAUAUAACGUGGACCAAUUACUAAUUCAUGAUAAUUAAGAUGAUCGACAAAAUAAUGGAUCUUGCCUUCUAGGAUUAAAUUUAAAAUCAAUGUCUAGAGUUUGUUAAAUUUUUCGUCUUUUCUUCUACGGCAAGUUAACUUUUAUUUCAUAAAGGUGGAUCAAAUUUUCUAUGUAUUCUCUGGUUCUUUAAUAAAUCGCAUUAUUUUGGACCAUUCUUCCUAUGUAGUGGCGUGUUUACUCUUCUUUUAGCAUUCGGAUUAUGUAGUUAGCAAUUUCUGGUAUAUUAGUAAGUUUCAGGUAGAAAAAAAAACUUUUGUGUAUUU